GCUCAGAACGAACGCUGGCGGCAGGCCUAACACAUGCAAGUCGAGCGCGCCCUUCGGGGUGAGCGGCGGACGGGUGAGUAACGCGUGGGAACGUGCCCUUCUCUGCGGAAUAGCCUCGGGAAACUGAGAGUAAUACCGCAUACGCCCUUUGGGGGAAAGAUUUAUCGGAGAAGGAUCGGCCCGCGUUGGAUUAGGUAGUUGGUGGGGUAAUGGCCCACCAAGCCGACGAUCCAUAGCUGGUUUGAGAGGAUGAUCAGCCACACUGGGACUGAGACACGGCCCAGACUCCUACGGGAGGCAGCAGUGGGGAAUCUUAGACAAUGGGGGCAACCCUGAUCUAGCCAUGCCGCGUGAGUGAUGAAGGCCUUAGGGUUGUAAAGCUCUUUCAGCUGGGAAGAUAAUGACGGUACCAGCAGAAGAAGCCCCGGCUAACUCCGUGCCAGCAGCCGCGGUAAUACGGAGGGGGCUAGCGUUGUUCGGAAUUACUGGGCGUAAAGCGCACGUAGGCGGACCGGAAAGUUGGGGGUGAAAUCCCGGGGCUCAACCUCGGAACUGCCUUCAAAACUAUUGGUCUGGAGUUCGAGAGAGGUGAGUGGAAUUCCGAGUGUAGAGGUGAAAUUCGUAGAUAUUCGGAGGAACACCAGUGGCGAAGGCGGCUCACUGGCUCGAUACUGACGCUGAGGUGCGAAAGCGU
rnacentral:rRNA from 1 species